UACGGAGGGUGCAAGCGUUAUCCGGAUUCACUGGGUUUAAAGGGUGCGUAGGUGGGCAGGUAAGUCAGUGGUGAAAUCUCCGGGCUUAACCCGGAAACUGCCGUUGAUACUAUCUGUCUUGAAUGUAGUGGAGGUGAGCGGAAUAUGUCAUGUAGCGGUGAAAUGCUUAGAUAUGACAUAGAACACCCAUUGCGAAGGCAGCUCGCUACACUAUUAUUGACACUGAGGCACGAAAGCGUGGGGAGCGAACAGG
rnacentral:rRNA from 1 species